GUUGUGUCAUUUUUAAUUCCCAUUCCUACAGCUGUGACGUCACGUUCACAAAAAUAUGUAAAUACAUCAACAGCUCCUUCAUUUUGUGAGGAAAUUCUAUGGGAGACUGAAGGUGCAAAACUUACAUACAAUGGAGUGCUCUUCUUUUUACAAUAUAUAAAUCCGUUGGUAAUUCUGAUCGUUACCUACGGACGGAUAAGCUAUGUGAUGUGGGCUAUCAAGACUCCUGG
rnacentral:lncRNA from 1 species